AGGAUUAGGGUUUUCUAAAAUUUCUAUCUGGAUUCUGGAAUUCACUGCUCUACUCGAUUCUCUCUCAUUCGAAUUUUUCAAGGCUUGGGAGUUUGAUUUCGCGGUUUUUCUAGAUUUUCUCCUUCUGAAGAUUUUUCGUUGUCAUAUGUUCACUCGGUAUCUUUGAUUCAGGUCUCUCACAAACUCAGCCACUCGUAAUUGCUUUUUCAUAAGAUUAGCAUACAGUUUUCGGUCUAAUUAUAUGAUUUCUAGUUUGUUUGUUUGUGAGUUUUGAUCUGUAAAUUCAGUAGGAAGAAGCAAUGGAUGAGGGGAAACAUAAGUCUAGGAGGGAGGAUUCGGAGAGGAGCGAGGAGGAUUUGAAGCGGAGCCACCGGGACCGGGAUAGAGAAAGGGUUAAGGAGAGGAACGGGGAUAAGCACAAGGAGAAGAGGAACCGUGAAAGUCGGCGAUCCGAGAGAGAGAGGAGUAGUGAUUCUGAUGGAAAGUAUGAUAGGGAGUGGGAGAGGGAGAAGCAUAGAACGCGGAGUCGGGAUGAUGAGAAGGAAAGAGUGAGAGAGAAGAAGAGGGAAAGAGAGAGGGAAGACAGAGAGAGGGAGAGGGAGAGGGAGAAAGAGAGAGAGAAAGAGAAGAGGGAGAGGGCGAGGGAGAAAGAAAAGGAGAGGGAAAGGGAAAGGGAACGAGAGAAGAGAGAACGUGAUAGAGAGGAGAGGGAGAGGGAGAGGGAAAGAGAGAAGGAAAGGGAAAGGAGGGAGCGUGAAAGAGAGAGAGAGAAGGAGAGGAGAAUGCGUGACAGGGAGAAGCGGCGAGCAGCUGAUAGUGAUCACAGCAAUGACGAGGAUGAGCACAGGGAGCGUGAUAGGAAGCGGCAUAGGAGUGAUGACGGUGAUCACAGGGAGAGAGAUCGUGAACGGAGUAGCAGCAGGCCUCGCAAACACAGGGACGAUAGUGAAGAGAUCCCAAGGAGAAAGAGCGGUGAUGAUGACUCGGAGAAGAUACAGAAGAAAGCGACACGUGAAGAGGAGUUAGAGGACGAGCAGAAGAGAUUGGAUGAGGAAAUGGAGAAGCGAAGGAGGAGAGUGCAGGAGUGGCAAGAGUUGAGGAGAGUGAAGGAAGAAGCUGAGAGAGAAAAACGUGGGGAAGCGGAUGCUGAUGAACCUAUGUCUGGCAAGACCUGGACUCUUGAAGGGGAAUCUGACGAUGAAGAAUCACUGGGAAAAUUGGAGACGGACAUGGAUGUUGUUGAAGAUGCCACGCCUACAACCGAACAAGCUGGUGAUUCAGUGUUGGUUGAUUCUCACAAUGGAAGCGUGACAUCCACUUCACAGGAGGUGGUUGAUGUUUCUGCCGAGGAUGAUGAAAUCGAUCCAUUGGAUGCCUUCAUGAAUUCUAUGGUAUUGCCUGAGGUUGAGAAGCUAAAAGAUGGUUUGGCUCCUUCAAAUGCUAAUGAUAAGAUUGUUGACUUGAAUAACAAAGAUAAGAAGCAUGAAGGAAGUAACGUUCUACAGCCACUGAAGGCUUCAAAUAAAUCUAUGGGUCGAAUAAUGCAGGGCGAAGAUUCCGAGUCAGAUUAUGGUGACCCUGAUAAUGAGGAUACUUUGGAAGAUGAAGACGAUGAUGAGUUCAUGAAAAGGGUGAAGAAGACAAAAGCGGAGAAGCUUUCAAUAGUUGACCACUCGAAGAUUGAUUAUCAACCAUUCCGGAAAAAUUUCUACAUUGAAGUGAAAGAGAUAUCAAAGAUGACUUCUGAAGACGUUGCAGCUUACCGGAAACAAUUGGAAUUGAAGAUACACGGUAAGGAUGUGCCAAAGCCGGUCAAAACAUGGCACCAAACUGGACUUACAGGUAAAAUCUUGGAGACAAUAAAGAAGCUUAACUAUGAAAAGCCAAUGCCAAUUCAAGCUCAGGCUCUGCCUAUAAUUAUGAGUGGUCGAGACUGCAUUGGCGUUGCCAAAACUGGCUCGGGCAAAACCCUUGCCUUUGUGCUGCCAAUGUUGAGGCAUAUCAAGGACCAGCCGCCUGUGGUAGCUGGAGAUGGACCUAUUGGGCUAAUAAUGGCCCCUACAAGGGAGCUUGUACAGCAGAUCCACAGUGAUAUAAAGAAGUUUACAAAAGUGCUUGGCAUCGGGUGUGUCCCUGUAUAUGGAGGUUCUGGUGUUGCUCAACAAAUUAGUGAUUUAAAACGGGGCACUGAUAUCGUUGUAUGUACUCCAGGUAGGAUGAUUGACAUACUUUGCACCAGUGGGGGGAAAAUCACAAAUCUGCGUAGAGUCACUUAUUUGGUCAUGGAUGAAGCUGAUCGAAUGUUUGACAUGGGUUUUGAACCCCAAAUUACUCGAAUUGUGCAAAAUAUUCGGCCGGAUCGCCAAACAGUACUCUUCUCUGCCACAUUCCCCCGCCAAGUUGAAGUAUUGGCGCGGAAAGUGUUAAACAAGCCUGUAGAGAUACAAGUUGGUGGUAGAAGUGUUGUGAACAAGGACAUAUCACAGUUGGUUGAGGUGAGGCCGGAAAAUGAGAGGUUCUUUAGAUUGUUGGAAAUACUUGGUGAAUGGUAUGAGAAAGGAAAAAUUUUGAUUUUUGUCCACUCACAGGAGAAGUGUGAUGCUUUGUUCAAGGAUCUCCUCAGGCAUGGUUAUCCUUGCCUCUCACUGCAUGGGGCUAAGGAUCAGACAGAUAGAGAAUCCACCAUUUCUGACUUUAAAAGCAACGUUUGCAAUUUGUUGAUUGCAACAAGUAUUGCUGCCAGGGGGUUGGACGUGAAGGAGCUUGAAUUGGUGAUCAACUUUGACGUUCCAAACCACUAUGAAGACUAUGUCCACCGUGUUGGUCGUACAGGUCGAGCUGGUCGGAAAGGCUGUGCUAUCACAUUUAUCUCCGAGGACGAUGCAAGAUAUGCACCAGAUCUUGUAAAGGCAUUGGAACUCUCUGAGCAAGCUGUUCCUGAUGACCUGAAAGCUCUUUCUGAUAGUUUUAUGGCAAAAGUAAAUCAGGGACUUGAGCAAGCCCAUGGGACUGGUUAUGGUGGAAGUGGUUUUAAAUUUAAUGAAGAGGAAGAUGAAGUGAGGAGAGCAGCAAAGAAAGCACAGGCCAAAGAAUAUGGUUUUGAGGAGGACAAGACAGACUCAGAAGAUGAAGAUGAAGGUAUAAGGAAGGCAGGUGGUGACAUAUCGCAGCAGGCUGCCUUAGCUCAGAUAAUCGCUGCUGCCUCCAAAGUCAGCACACCUUCUAUGCCAACGCCUGUCUCUGCUGCCCAACUGCUUCCCAAUGGUGGACUGCCUGUUACACUGCCAGGCGUAAUGGGUCUAACAAUUCCUGGAACAACAGCAGUUGUGACUGGGACUGGCCUGCCUGUUGUUGCCAAUGACGCUGCGGGGGCAGCUCGAGCAGCAGCCAUUGCUGCUGCUCUCAACUUGCAGCAAAAUUUGGCAAAAAUUCAAGCUGAUGCUAUGCCGGAACACUAUGAGGCAGAAUUGGAGAUAAACGAUUUUCCCCAGAAUGCCCGAUGGAAGGUUACCCACAAGGAAACUUUGGGCCCUAUUUCAGAGUGGACUGGAGCCGCUAUUACUACCAGGGGGCAGUAUUUCCCGUCAGGUAAGGUAGCAGGACCAGGAGAACGUAAGCUUUACUUGUUCAUUGAGGGCCCUACUGAACAGUCUGUGAAGAGAGCUAAAUCAGAAUUAAAACGCGUUUUGGAAGACAUCACUAACCAGGCAUUACAACUACCUGGUGGAGCUCAACCUGGCAGAUACCAAGUUCUGUAAGGGUGAGAACACGAUUGCAAUUCGUACAACCUUGUAGAGAUAUCUUUACCUGCUUAUGUUAAAUCUAGGUUGAGUUCCAACUUCUAUUUUUUUUCCUUGGUUACUUAAUCAAAUUUUGUUUUCUCGGUUAAGCGCGAUGUGACGGGGACAUGCAGAGUUAUCAACCACUUGAAAUACCUGUGACGACACAGGCUCAACACAAAGAAAUCGCACAUACAAUCUUCUAUACUACUUUUCUUCCCUCCUUUUUGGUUCACAGCUUCAAGUAGACUUGUGGAUUAUGAGUCAAAAGCAUAUAGUUUUCCCGAUUUCCAUUCCUCCCUUCCUCACCAUUCUCAUAUCUUGUGUCUUGGAUGUGCUAUAAAAUUUAUAGAUUUGUUUUUGAUUUCUACAUUGUUUUCGACCCGUUUGAUUUUUUCUUUUCUUAUGGCACGAGGGAUGUUUUAAGCCCAUGCUCGCAUGUCCAAUAUUGUCUCUGCCUCUUACCUUUGCUAUCGUGGCUGUGAAAGAGAUGGAGGUUAUGGCGCGACACUUUCCUCAUGUUCACGUUGUUAAGUAUAGAGUCUACAGUUGGGAAACAUUCCUGGAGCCAAUUGUUGCUAUAUUUGCAACUUUGUUAUGAUUAUAUAUCAACAGGAGUACUAAACCUAGUCAGGAUGCCUACUAGUAAGAAGAUAUCCACUUGUUGAUUUGGGUUCCAUAAAAGUGAUCGUUAGAUUGAAUUGGCUUGGCUGACCUUAGAAUGGAUGCCUAUACCGUAUGCGUACUUUAUAAAAAGUUGUCUAAUCUCUUUACAAUAAUAAUCACCUCAUUGCCUAGAAUAUGUUACCAUUAUUUUUGUGAACUUCGGGGAUGUAACGAGUGACCCCUAUUAUUGAAAAUGCUUUUGGUUUGGUUCUCUUUUCGCAAAUGGAUAUGCUUAUCUGACUGAUGGAAUGGUUCCAAUUGAGAUAUUGGUGUGAUGAAAUUGUUAAUGGUUUC